UGGGGAAUUUUCCGCAAUGGGUGCAAGCCUGACGGAGCAACGCCGCGUGAGGGAGGAAGGCCUGUGGGUUGUAAACUUCUUUUCUCUAGGAAGAAGGUCUGACGGUACUAGAGGAAUCAGCAUCGGCUAACUCCGUGCCAGCAGCCGCGGUAAGACGGAGGAUGCAAGCGUUAUCCGGAAUUAUUGGGCGUAAAGCGUCCGUAGGCGGUUAUACAAGUCUGCUGUUAAAGACCACAGCUCAACUGUGGGCAGGCGGUGGAAACUGCAUAACUAGAGUACGUUCGGGGCAGAGGGAAUUCCUGGUGUAGCGGUGAAAUGCGUAGAUAUCAGGAAGAACACCGGUGGCGAAAGCGCUCUGCUAGGCCGUAACUGACACUGAGGGACGAAAGCUAAGGGAGCGAAUGGGAUUAGAUACCCCCGUAGUCC
rnacentral:rRNA from 1 species